rnacentral:lncRNA from 1 species
UAUUUUCUAAACUUUUAAUAUGGCAAUAUUUUAGAACUGUCAAAAUGUCCCAUUGACGUUUCUUAAUAAAGUCAGUUUGUUAUUUUAUUUCAUUGGUUUUGUAUAAAAUAAUGCCGAAAACAAUCAAAAGUUCGACGAGAAAGCUUCUAUUUACUAUGAUUGACUAAUAUAAAGACGUACAAAGUGAUUUGAAUCAGAAAUUUGCAGAGAAAAUACGACGACUGUAUUCAGUCAUUUCACUUUUAGAUAAUAUUGACGAGGACAACGACUACGGGGAAACAAAACUUACAACUGCGGAAAUAGUAAAGAAAUUAAAAUAUCUAUUCCAUCAAAUAAACGUUUUGUAAUAA